AACGAACGCUGGCGGCAUGCCUAACACAUGCAAGUCGAACGAGACCUUCGGGUCUAGUGGCGCACGGGUGCGUAACGCGUGGGAACCUGCCCUUAGGUUCGGAAUAACUCCCCGAAAGGGGUGCUAAUACCGGAUAAUGUCUUCGGACCAAAGAUUUAUCGCCUUUGGAUGGGCCCGCGUUGGAUUAGCUAGUUGGUAGGGUAAAAGCCUACCAAGGCGACGAUCCAUAGCUGGUCUGAGAGGAUGAUCAGCCACACUGGGACUGAGACACGGCCCAGACUCCGACGGGAGGCAGCAGUGGGGAAUAUUGGACAAGGGGCGAAAGCCUGAUCCAGCAAUGCCGCGUGAGUGAUGAAGGCCUUAGGGUUGUAAAGCUCUUUUACCCGGGAUGAUAAUGACAGUACCGGGAGAAUAAGCUCCGGCUAACUCCG
rnacentral:rRNA from 1 species